AUUGAACGCUGGCGGCAGGCCUAACACAUGCAAGUCGAGCGAGCGGCGGACGGGUGAGUAAUGCCUGGGAAUUGCCCAGUCGAGGGGGAUAACAGUUGGAAACGACUGCUAAUACCGCAUACGAUUGGAUUGCCCAGGUGGGAUUAGCUAGUUGGUGAGGUAAUGGCUCACCAAGGCGACGAUCCCUAGCUGGUCUGAGAGGCGGAUAAUCCACACGGGAAAGGAGAAACGGUCCAGACUACUACGGGAGGAAGCAGUGGGGAAUAUUGCACAAUGGGGGAAACCCUGAUGCAGCCAUGCCGCGUGUGUGAAGAAGGCCUGAGGGUUGUAAAGCACGUUCAGCGAGGAGGCGUUACUCGCAGAAGAAGCACCGGCUAACUCCGUGCCAGCAGCCGCGGUAAUUC
rnacentral:rRNA from 1 species